UUAGAUCACAAAAUAAAAACAGUUUGCUAAUUAAAUAUUUCAAGCUAAGUAUUUAAAUACUGUGUACUGUAACUGCAGCAGUUCAGAGUCCUUCCUGUUUUAAAGGAAACCACAAGGCCUUGUUGCCAUGGCGAUGUCCAGGACAAACAUGUCAGGGGACAUCAGUCCGUCCAUCGUCCUCCUAGAGGACACGUCUCAGGUCCUGCAGGACUUUAAUCCUGGUUUCUGCAGAUUAUUUUCUUUCUCUACCUGCAAUAAAACAGCAGCACAGCAACAAUUAUUGUUAUAGAAAGACAGAAAGACACCAGCUGUUCUGUAAGUACACACAUGUAGGUGUGUGUGUGUGUGUGUGUGUGAGUGUGUGUGUGUGUGUGUGUGUGUGUGUGUGUGUCCUGAUUGCUCACAGAAGCAUGAAGCCCUUUGAAGACGGUCCAGAGGAUUGGUUGGGCUGCCAGAGGUUGGAGGAGGAGAAUGGAGAUGAUUGGAGAUGAGAAGCAUGAAGGAGGCCGGGGACGGCGAGCGGGAUGAAUGGAUUAACGCACCUGAAUGAAUCCCACACACACUCACAUACACACA